rnacentral:rRNA from 1 species
CUACGGAGGGUGCAAGCGUUAUUCGGAAUCACUGGGCGUAAAGGACGCGUAGGCGGGUUGGCAAGUCAGAUGUGAAAUCCUACAGCUUAACUGUAGAACUGCAUUUGAAACUGCUAACCUAGAGUAUGGGAGGGGGAGAUGGAAUUAGUGGUGUAGGGGUAAAAUCCGUAGAUAUCACUAGGAAUACCGAAGGCGAAGGCGAUCUCCUGGAACAUAACUGACGCUAAGGCGUGAAAGCGUGGGGAGCAAACAGGAUUAGAAACCCCGGUAGUCC